rnacentral:rRNA from 1 species
CAAGCGAAAGUGAUAAGUUAUCCACCUGGGGAGUACGUCCGCAAGGAUGAAACUCAAAGGAAUUGACGGGGGCCCGCACAAGCGGAGGAGCAUGUGGUUUAAUUUCGAUGAUACGCGAGGAACCUUUACCUGGGCUUAAAUGCAGGAUGAUUCAUGCCGAAAGGCGUGUUCCUUUCGGGCAUUUUGCAAGGUGCUGCAUGGUUGUCGUCAGCUCGUGCCGUGAGGUGUCGGGUUAAGUCCCAUAACGAGCGCGACCCUUACUCCCAGUUGCCAUCACUUCGGGUGGGGACUCUGGGGGAACUGCCUACGCAAGUAGCGAGGAAGGUGGGGAUGACGUCAAAUCAGCACGGCCCUUAUGUCCAGGGCUACACACGUGCUACAAUGGCCUGUACAGAGGGCAGCUACCCGGCGACGGGGUGCCAAUCUCAAAAACAGGUCUCAGUUCGGAUCGGAGCCUGCAACUCGGCUCCGUGAAGUUGGAUUCGCUAGUAAUCGCGUAUCAGCAACGACGCGGUGAAUACGUUCCCGGGCCUUGUACACACCGCCCGUCAAGCCAUGGGAGUCGGGGGUACCUGAAGUCGAUAACCGCAAGGAGUCGCCUAGGGUAAGACCGAUGACUGGGGCUAAGUCGUAACAAGGUAACCAAGGGCGAA